CCAAAGCUUCUCACCAAACCCCAACUCCACAAAUUUGAUCAAUUGAAGGCUAAUUCCUGUCCUAAAUCGAAAUCUGAACAUAGAUUCAUGAUCCUCAUCACAAGGGGGUACAAGGAAAGGACGUAGGAGCGUCAAACGGACAAGCGGGUGGCGAAUCACGUUUGAAAGGCCUACAUUGAAGGUGACGUUGGAACUAACCGGAAGAUGAUCGAGCUAGCUUUUGAAGAACCAAACACUAUUUACAAGCUUCCGCAAUGUUUUAAACUUUAGUAGAUUAUGUUUAUGGGUUGUAAACAAAUUGUUAAACAACUUUUGGAUGUUUUAACUUAGUCGUUAGUCGACUGAGGUCUUGCUACUAAUGAACUAUACUUAUGAAAUCUAUGUUA